GUGUUUCGAGUUACUCCGGAACACAGUGUUUAUUCUGUGUUUAGUCACGCCGCGUCAAAAAUGUUCCACAGGGUUACUUCCGGUUUAUCGUUGUUUACCUUUGUUUACCAACAGUCGACACUUCGUGUAUUAGGUCUAGGCUUAAUUUUGUCGAUCAUCAUGAAAUUGAAAUACACAUUUAAAGUUUGGGGUGUAUGCGGUACAUAUUUGUUUAUGAGCGUUUGAUAAGCUACUAUUGAUCUACGAAAUACAACGAAAGACUUCGUCAAGAACAGAAGAAGACGAUGUCGUGUAACUCACACAAGGCCCAGCUGUCUAGUAACCGGAGGGGUAAAGGAAAAGAACGUAUUAGACUCACUGAAACCUGUCAAACAGGUAUAUCAUUAUGGGAACAGGAUCAUUUUCCAUGCCUUUCACUUGAGGUCUUCAGUUUCAUCAUUAAUCAUCUGAAUGUCGCUCCCUUUCACUGCAUACCAGCCAAUAACUAGCAGUCAUUAUAUGCAGAUCAGCCAUUGUUAUCAACCUGUGUAUAUAUAUGUUGAAUAAAAUAUGAAUGAAAA